AUGUCACGGAGGAAAGGAGCAGCAGCAGGAGGAGGAGCUGGGCCCAUGGCGAUGGCGGCCAUGGAGGAGGAGGCCGCCGAGCUGAGGAGAGGCCCCUGGACGCUGGAGGAGGACAACCUCCUCAUGAGCUACAUUGCUUGCCACGGCGAGGGCCGCUGGAACCUCCUCGCCCGCUGCUCCGGGUUGAAGAGGACGGGGAAGAGCUGCCGGCUCCGGUGGCUGAACUACCUGAAGCCUGACAUAAAGCGGGGGAACCUGACGGCGGAGGAGCAGCUGGUCAUCCUGGAGCUCCACGCCAAGUGGGGCAACCGGUGGUCGCGGAUCGCGCAGCACCUCCCCGGCCGCACCGACAACGAGAUCAAGAACUACUGGCGGACCAGGGUGCAGAAGCAGGCGAGGCAGCUCAAGGUGGACGCCAACUCCGCCGUCUUCCGCGACGCCGUCCGCUGCUACUGGAUGCCGCGCCUCCUCGACAAGAUGUCCAUGGCCGCUGCUUCCACGGCCGCGCCGCCGCCCCUGAUGGAGCAGCACGGCCAAGGCGUCCUGUCCUCCUCGCAGUCGGCGGCAAUCGGCAGCGACCAGCUCUGCUGCUACCCUGCCGCCGGCUUCAACCCGAGCCCGAGCGCGUCCACGUCCGGAUCGACGGCGGCAGCCGCGCUGCAACCGGCGCCGUUGCCCUGCUUCUCCGAACUCAACUGGGAGGACCAGUACUGCUACCCGAGCGGAGGCGACCUCGACGGUGGCGCCGGUGGGAUGGAGUUGGACUCGGCGGCGCUGCUGGGAAGCCUCGGCCUCGACGGGCUGGACCUAGGGCCGGCAGAGUCGUACCUCCCGGACGCCACGCUCCUCGACUACCUCAACUACUCGAGUUGCACCGCCAACGCCAUGAACAUGAUGAUGGUGAACGGCGGCAACUACAACAACAGCUACUGUGGCGGUGACGCCAUGGUCGACGGCGAUCACCACGACACGACGACGGCGGCGACGUGCCACGCGGCGAGGAAGCUGGCAGGCGAGUGGGGAGGAGGGAUCUAG
rnacentral:rRNA from 1 species